AACGAACGCUGGCGGCAUGCCUAACACAUGCAAGUCGAACGAGACCUUCGGGUCUAUUGGCGCACGGGUGCGUAACGCGUGGGAACCUGCCCUUAGGUUCGGAAUAACUCCCCGACAGGGGUGCUAAUACCGGAUAAUGUCUUCGGACCAAAGAUUUAUCGCCUUUGGAUGGGCCCGCGUUGGAUUAGCUAGUUGGUAGGGUAAAAGCCUACCACGGGGACGAUCCAUAGCUGGUCUGAGAGGAUGAUCAGCCACACUGGGACUGAGACACGGCCCAGACUCCUACGGGAGGCAGCAGUGGGGAAUAUUGGACAAUGGGCGAAAGCCUGAUCCAGCAAUGCCGCGUGAGUGAUGAAGGCCUUAGGGUUGUAAAGCUCUUUUACCCGGGAUGAUAAUGACAGUACCGGGAGAAUAAGCUCCGGCUAACUCCGUG
rnacentral:rRNA from 1 species